rnacentral:rRNA from 1 species
UGACGCUGGCGGCAUGCUNUAACACAUGCAAGCUCGAACGGCAGCACAGCAGAGCUUGCUCUGUGGGUGGCGAGUGGCGGACGGGUGAGUAAUACAUCGGGACCUACCCAGACGUGGGGGAUAACCUCGGGAGACCGGGACUAAUACCGCAUACGUCCUACGGGAGAAAGCGGGGGAUCGCAAGACCUCGCGCGGUUGGACGGACCGAUGUUCGAUUAGCUAGUUGGGGGGGUAACGGCCCACCAAGGCGACGAUCGAUAGCUGGUCUGAGAGGAUGAUCAGCCACAUUGGGACUGAGACACGGCCCAAACUCCUACGGGAGGCAGCAGUGGGGAAUAUUGGACAAUGGGCGCAAGCCUGAUCCAUCAAUGCCGCGUGUGUGAAGAAGGCCUUCGGGUUGUAAAGCACUUUUAUCAGGGAAGAAACGGUGGA